UGUACAAUAGGAGAGAGAAUUGUGUAACUCAAAAAAGAGUUAGUGUAACUUAACACAACAAAACUCAUUACGCGCAGCUUGUAGCCACUGAAUACCUGAUUGGGGAUUCAACGUCAACAACAAACAAAGUUUCGUCGGAGCAAUCAACAUCACCGUUUUCAUCCCAAUUCACCUUCUCCGAUCGCAUGCUUCACUGAAUUGCCUUCAAUCCAUCAAGCUAAGCAUUCUUCUCUUCACUCUCUGUUUAAUCUGUUUUGUUUCCUUCGUCUUCAUCAAUUUCGUAUUCUUAUAAAUUGAAUUUUGAUAGGUUUAACAGAUCUAGGGUUUAUCAUAUUACACAUCAAUCUAUCUAAUUCGCAUCAAUCUUCACUAGCUUUUAUCUGUUUUGCAUCAAUCUUCAAUUGUGUUUAUCUGCUUCGUUUAAAUGUAGAUCUGAAUUUUGUUUAAUUACUGCUUUAACGAUUGUUAAACACUAAUAAACACGAAUCUACGAGUAAUUAACCAAUACGGCAAUGUUUUUAAUUAUCCAUUUGUUUAUUUAAUGAGAAUCCAUCGCAUGUAUUUAUUGGUAUUUCUGUUACAUAUAUGAUGUAGUUUAAGCCGGCAAUCUUAUUAAGUUUUUGACCUAAUUCGUUGGGAUUUAGUUAGACCUAAAACCUAACAUGAUAUCGAAUGUGGUUAUUGAAAUUGUGAUCUUUGGUUAGCAGAUUGGCUUUUAAUGAACUAAGAUUACCACUUUAUGAAGCCAGAUCAAUUAUGUUCCGUAUUAAAAGCUGGGCAGUUGAUCAUAGAAGUCAAAUCCAUAUAGAGAUGCCGAUUCUUAAACACUAAUUAACACGAAUCACCGAGUAAUUUUACCAAUACGGUAAUGCUUUUAAUUAUCCAUUUGUUUAUUUAAUGAGAACCCAUCACAUGUAUUUAUUAGUAUUUGUGUUACAUAUAUGAUGUAGUUUAAGCUGGCAAUCUUAUUAAGUUUUUGACCUAAUUCGUUGGGAUUUAGUUAGACCUAAAACCUAACAUGAUAUCAAAGUUGGUUAUUGCAAUUGUGAUCUAUGGUUAGCUGUUUGGCUUUUGAUAAACUAAGAUUACCACUUUAAGAAGCCAAAUCUAUUAUGUUCGGUAUUAAAAGCUGGGCAGUUGACCAUAGAAGCCGAUUUCAAAAGCUUUGAUAUUAGAUUUUGGGUCUAAUUAAAUGCCAUAAAGCUGAUUUUGUGAUGUUGAAUUUGGUCCAAAAACCUAUUAAUGUUUGCCAACAAGGUUUUUGAUAUUAAGCUUUUAAAUAAAUGUGUAACAAUUCAGGUUAUACUCUAUUUGUUACCUUUUCACACUUUCUUUUACUUGAAAGAUUUUGUCACUCUUAGUAUGGCAAGUAAAUUGCACAAUCUGGCACGAAACUAAACAGCUUUAAUCACUUUUAUUUUUUUCAACAACCAUUGACAAUCUACUUGGAAAAACAUUUUUUGAAUAAUUUGUUUUAGAAUGCUUGUUUUUUUAUUUAUUUCAUAUUUCUCAUGUAGAUGAUUUCGGAACAUCUAAUUGCUUUUUCUUGAAUGAUGUCUUGUUGCUUUUAAUGAAAGUUAUUUUUUCAGCUUCGAUGCAUUUUUUUUACUGUACACACUGAAACCUGAAAAGGUAAGGAGAAAAGAAUGCAAUAAUUCUUUUUGACAACAGAAACUGCUAGUAUUUAAAAUGACUACAGAUGCCCUAUAGUCAAUAUUAUGUGUUUAUUGCAGUCCAUAAAUUGGAAGUUUGGAACCAUUUAACAAAAAUUGAAUGGUUCACUUUUUGAAUUCUCAUUCUAUCAACAUCAAACGUUUCCAAUUUAUUAAUAUUGUUAAGAUUGCGAAUUAAAUAGUAAGAUUGGACGAUCUAACAUUCUUGCUCAUACUAAGUGAGUCAUAUCACACGCAAAAUCGUCUUUUGAGAUGAUCGUGGUGGUAUCACGUGAUAGAUGGUUAUCCCUUGAGAUUGUGAUUAAGGUCUAUCUCAGGUGAUUCCAAAAAUGGCAUUUAGGGUUGGGUUUGCACAAUCAAACUCCCCUAAUGCAGUCUGACCACUGUGGUUCCACUGCUGUCACGUGGCCAGACUUCUUGUUCCUCAAAUCGCCAUCUGUGAUGUAGUCAAACUGGGAUGGUUCCCAAUCUGUUACUGGUGCAGCUUUGCAGAUCUAUAUCACUGUCACAUUUUCUCCAUAACCCGUGAACGAUGCAUGAGACAAGAGAGAAAUGGGGGAAGAAAAAGAGAAGAGGGUUGAAAGAAGGAUCUUGCCAUGCUAUGAGGGGGGAAGGAAAAAUAUGAAGAAAAUGAAGUACAGUGGUGCGGCCUAAAGGGAUACAAAGAAAGCAAGAGAGUUAGGGUUGCUUAGCCCAAUAAGAACUAAACUUAGUGAUUCAAGGGGUUCCUCUAAGGGUGAUGGUUCCAUUUUUACAAACUAUAUUACUUUUACCCUCUAGGAAAAAAUUGGAUGGUUUCAAUUAUGAUUGUUGGCUUCUAACAUCCAAUUAUGGGUUGGUCAAGGGUAUAAGGAUCAUCUCACUAGAAAGGUUGAAUUGAUGGUUGAAUGACCAAAAUGGAGGAAGAUUGAUGCUCAAUUGUGCAGUGUCAUUAAGUCAACACUUCAUCCUAACAUCAAACUAGUCUUCUAUCCUCAUCUCACAUGCUAAUUAAUUUAGAAUCAGGUGAAGGUACAUUACAAUAAUAAAUAUUCAAUUUCUCUAUGGAGUUUGUCACAGUUUAAUGAAUAUCAUUGCUUUAAAGAAGAUAGAUGAUCAUAUUUUUGCUUAUCUAGGUAAAGUUCACGACGUUCUUCAUGAUUUCAAUAAUCUCAUCCUCUCUUGCCACAAUUUCAUAGCUGAAAAGGAAAAGGAACUUGGGCAACACAUCACCUUCUUCCUGCUCCUUUCCUUUUAUGAAUUGCCUCGUGAGGACUCUAACACCCGUAUUCACAUUUUGGAGUUUGCUACCAUCCUAGAUGUCUUGGGUCGUCCCCAAUGUUUUGUAAAUGUGGGGGUUGAUCCAUCUGAACUCGUCAGAAAGUACCUCUUCCUCAUGCCUCCCCAACUUGCUUUGAAUAUUUUCUCUAGAGGAUUCAAAGCCGUAAAAAAUAUGGCUUUACUGCUUCAGUUGCGCUGGCUGGUCAUUCAUUCGCUUUCCUUUGUCAGUUGCCUUCUCUUUGUGUAUGGAUUCUCAGUUCUGGUUCUGGUCCAUCUGACCACAUUACUGGUAUUAUUAAGGCUCUUCUCUCCUUUUUUGCUUCAUCUGGUUAUAUAUGUAGUCUUAACAAAUGGUUAUGAAACAAAACCCCAAGGAAUCGACACCAUAUCCUCCCUUGUUUGUUUCAUAUGUCUUUUAUAAACCUGGAUGUCCAUUUAAUUUAAUCUUUAUCAAUCGAUUGACUCGUUCUUAUGAUUGUGUUGUUACUUAAACUAAUGGCAAUGUUACUUUGCUAGAUCGAGCUUCAAGAUAGAUGAUUGGCAUCAAAUGUGAGUCAAAUGAACUCAAUUAUCACUUUGACAAAUCAACGUAAUGCUCUACAACAUAUUCUCUUUUUACUGUACAUGGUCAAUUGGGUCAUCGGGUCGCCUCAAUCAUCAAAAGUUGGUGCCUGUUCUUUUAAAUUUAUAUGUGGGUCGGGAUAAUUAGGGAAACACACUUGUAGUUAGCUUCCAAACCUAGUGAAUGAAUAUGCUUCGUUCCCUUUUGUUUCAGUUCUCUCUGCUGUUUAGGGUUCAUCUUGUUACUUCCAUUGAUGAUUUCUUCAAUUGUAAGUGGUUAUAUGAAAAAUAAGUCUGAGCUAUUCUCUAUUUUUGAGAAAUUUUAUAAAGAAAUUAAAAUGUUCAUUCGCUCUUUACGCACUAGUGAUGCCUGGCGGUAUUUGUCCUAUCAAUUUCAAUAUUUUACGGUGUCUAAUGACAUUCUUCACCAAACGUCUUGUGUCCUUACACCUCAACAAAAUGUUUUGAUGUCACCUUUCUCUCUAUCAUUCUUGAGGACCCACCAAAGUUUGUUCCAUACUAUGAGAUGCCUCUUGACUCUGUUUGCAAAUCAUUCAUAUGGAUCCAUCAGAAUAUGUUUCACCUGCUAUUGUACCACUUGAGCCUUUUACGUCUAUCCCAUCUAAUCCUACUCUUGUGGCCCCUUAUGCGACACAACCUCUACAUGCACAAUGUUGUCGUCAACCACAUGUUGUGGAUGUUCCUGCACGUGAUCCUGAAACUGAUGCCAUUUCAGACUCUCUUUUGCCUUUAAAGGAUCUGACACUGAAUCUCCUUAUUGCUUUUCGUAAAGGUAUAUGUCUUACUCGCAAUGCAUCACCUCAUUAUAUUGUUGAGUUAUCACCGCGUCUCUCCUUUGUAUUAUACUUGUGUAUCUUUUUUGUCUUUUAUUUCUAUUCCUAAUUCUCCUGAUGAAGCUUUUUUUGCAAGAUGUGUGCUAAUUAGUGGUAUUUGGUAACUGGUUCUUCUACCCUUGAGAAGUCUUUAGUAGGAUGUCGUUAGCUUUAUGCGAUGAAGGUUGGUUCUUAAGGCAAGAUUGAUCACUUUAAAACUCAUUUGUUGGUAAAGGAGUAUAGUCAAAUCUUUGGCCUUGAUUGAAGUGACACUUUUUCACCUGUGAAGUGUCUUUAGCAAAGGAGUGAAGUGAUCUUUGACCUCUGUUAGACUCUUGCUCUUGAUUGCAGCUAUCUGACAUUGGCCUUUGUACCAACUUGACAUAAAUUAUUAUUUUUUUACAUGGUGACCUUGAAGACGAAAUGUGUAUGUAGCAAAUACUGGGGUUUGUUUCUCCCGGGGAGUGUUAUCCCAUGGUCUAUGGACUUCACACAUCUUAAUAUCAUCUUAAACAGUUUUACAUAUUCAUUACAGUAGUGCUACAAUUUGGCAUGAUAUGAAGCAAAGCAGUUCAUUCUGUGUUUUAUCGCCUCUCAGUUCAAGGGUGCAAUUACCUUGUUUUUAUAUAGAUGAUAUUGUCAUAAUUAGUAGUGAUCAACAUACCCUACUCCACUUGAAAGUUGAAACAACACCUCUCCCAUCACUUAAACACUAAAAACUUUAGCAAGCUCCAUUACUUCUUAGGUAUUUCAGUAGCCCAAUCCAAAGAUGACUUGAAAUUUCACCAAGGAAAUAUGCUAUGGAUAUUCUUGAAGAGACAAAUUUAUUGAAUGUCAAGCUGAUUGAUACUUCUAUGGAUCCAAAUGUCAAAAUUCUAUCUCGAGGAGAUAGAGAAGAUUGGUUGGCAAAUUAAACUACCUCACAGUUACUCGUCUAGACCAUGGUUUUAAAUUGCGGUCGCGGAUGCGGUUGCGGGUGUUGCGAUUGCGGCCAUUGCGGUUGCUGCGAUGCGCAUUGCGGCCGUUGCGGCGUGAAUUUAAAUUAAAAGAUAUUUGAAAUACGUCAUUAAAAAACACUUUAAUGAUAAUAUUUUACAUUACAAAUCACAUGUAAAUUGUGUUUAUGGGUUCUCAAAUGUUGAGUUAUGAUGAAAAUAUGUCAAGAAACAUAGGUGAAGGUGUUUGAUGCAAAGUCUAGUGUUGUUGGACGCGUGAUUACAAAUCACACCGCAAUUGCGGCCCGAUGCGGGUGCGGGGGUUACCGCAUCAGCAAUAUUGCGGCUGCAAUUCCGGUUGCGGACCGCAAUUUAAAACCAUGGUCUAGACAUUUUUUUUGUUGGCAGAAGAAAAAUAAGCCAAUUCUUAAGUUCUCCUAUACAAGAACACUUGGAUGUUGAGAUCUUGAAAUACAUUAAAGAUGACCUAAGAAAAGGACUAAUUUAUGAUAACAAAUGACAUAUUCAGAUAGUCGGUUACUUAGAUGUCAAUUGACUAGGCUCACUAAUUGAUAGGUGAUCUAAUUCAGGGUAUUAUGUACUUGUUGCAGAAAAUUUAAUAUUCUGGAAAUGUUGAAUACAAGGUCAUAUGACAUAAGUGGUUUGUGAGUUUAUGUUGUUGAAAUAGUUACUCUAAAGAACUUUAGUUUGAAGAGGUUGCCACACAAAUGGCAUUAACAUGCAAUAAUAAAGCAGAAUUGGAUAUUGCCUCUAACUCGAUUUUUUUAGAGAGGAUUAAGUAUAUUGAAAUAGAUGGUCAAUUUGUAAGGAAGAGGAUUCGAUCCGGUAACAUCAACUAUAUUGAAAUUUAGACCGUCUUUUUUUUAAGGGCAAAUAAAUAUAUAUAAAUAUAUAAGAGAAAAUGAGUCACCACAAAAUACAAGAUAGAACCAAGGGCUGGUACAAGAAGGAACAAAACUCCCCUGAAAACAAAAAGAACACCAAACAGGCUAGAUUUCACUAUCAAGAACCACCAUAUACAAACCAACAACCACCAGGAGCAACACAUGGAGAACACACACCCAAUAGCAAGGAUGAAGAUACUCAGGCCGCUAUUGAUUUAAGCAGAGAAUAGGGUUCUAAAGUCGGUUGGAGAAAGUAUGAAGAUCUACCAAGAUAUCAUUUCCAGAAUAAGAAAAUGCUCGUGUCUUCCAAAUCCUCUUCUCUUAUAAGUGUACCUGAAAAACAGAAUUGUUCCGAGAUUUUCAAAUUGACCACACCACAAAAUGGCGAAUUAUAGUAAGGCCACCUCUAGUCCUAUCCCGAUCCCCUAACGAAGUAAUCAUCUGAAAAUAGGAUAUGAGAUAAAUAGGAUAUGAGAUCUCUAGGUAAGACAUACGUCCAACCAAUCUAUCUAAAAAUUCAAUAUCACACCUUUUUAACAACACUAAGAUCUCAAUCCAACGGCCACAAAUGUACUGAAUGCAUCAAUACGUUAAAUUUUGACUGCCAAGUCUAAAAAUCCUGUGUAGUUGAAACACAGUUUUCACCAUAUGUAUAGCUUGUCUUCUCUCAUUUAACACUUCUCCACCCAUCCAUCAUGGAACUUACAAAAUAUAAAAUAUUGAUGCUGGCUUUUCAGUACAACUAUUGUAGAACCUGAUUAAAUUUUUAGUAGUUUAUAUAGCUGUUCGAAGUUGUUGUGGUAAUACUGUCUAAACUGAUAUUGGAUUUCUAUUUUGAACCUGGGAUUUUUAAGUUUUUGGCUGGGGGUGUUACAAUUAGCUGUCUCCUUUUCAUAUACGUUUUCUUCUCCCCCCAUCCAUCAUGGACUUAUGAAAUAUUGAUGCUGGCUUUUUUAUACAACUACUGUAAAACAUGAUUACAUUUUUAAUAUGUUAAAAUAGCUUUCGAAGUUGUUGUGGUAAUACUGUCUAAAUUGAUAUUGGAUUUCUAUUUUGAACCUGGGAUUUUUUAUGUUUUGGGCUGGGGGUGUUACAAUUAGCUGUCUCCUUUUCAUAUUGGUGGUUUUCUUCUCCACCCAUCCAUCAUGGACUUGUGAAAUAUUAAAAUAUUGAUGCUGGCUUUUUUGUACAACUACUGUAAAACAUGAUUAAAUUUUUAAUAGUUUAUAUAGCUGUUCGAAGUUGUUGUGGUAAUAUUGUCUAAAUUGAUAUUGGAUUUCUAUUUUGAGCCUGGGAUUUUUUCUGUUUUUGGCUGGGGUGAUAUGCUUAACUGUCUACUUUUCAUAUAGGUGGUUUUCUUAUGUCCCUUUUUCAAUAAAAAAUAUUUGUCCUCCUUAUGUUUUAUAUCUGGAAAUUCAGAGAAUUGUAUAAUAACUCAAUUGUUCUGAGAUAUUUGUUGCUUCCCCUGAGGUUACAGAGAUUGAUUUGAAAUCUCAGAAAAUACUCCUGCCUGAACAUUUCCAUAUGCUAUAAUUUCUUUGUAAUGAAUAUCCAUGGCUAACAUUGCAUAUUAUGAAUCUAGGGUGUGUAUGUGCAUUUCAUUCUCGGUCAAUUUGUUGAUGGCAUAUCUUUCCUUUCUACCGAGAAUACAUGUUUGAUAGAAACAUAUUUUCAUUAUCUGCAAUUUAUGUUACUACUUUUAACUACACUAUUUCUUGCUGCAACACUCUUGUCAUUGUCUCAAAAGGCUGAAAGUCAUGAGUUUGUUAAAGAAUUCAUUUUUUCAAAGUUAUUCUCCCUAAAAUCAUUAGUCUAUUAAGGUCCAUGACUCUGUUCCUUGUACUGUUGGAUAUAUAUACACUAAUGCUGCCUAUGCGUAUUGAUCAUGAAUGCCCUGUUUUAUGUGGGAAAAAACCUGACAUUCUCUUGAGCUUUGUAUUAGAGUUAGAAUGGAAGGAGGGAGGAAAAUGGAGUGAAGCCUUCCUGAUUUGGGGGAGUUCUUUUGGAGGAGAGGGGAAGAGAAAGGUUAUGAGUACUGUGUGUGUCAUGAUGAGUAUAUUAAACCGAGACACAGAGGGAAAGGAUUUAGAGAUUUUUUUGAAACCCUCUAAAUUACUCUCCCAAAUGAGCUUUUCAGUUCCUCCAAAUUGGUGGAUUUUAAGGAAUACUGACUCAUAAAAGGUAGGGAGUGAUCCUCCUUUCUUCCUCCAUUUCAUCCCAUAAUCCUUCCCCUCUUUCCUUCCUAAAUCCCAAACAAAGGCAUGGUCUUAUGCUCUUUACUUUUUGUUUUACAGCUUAUAGUUUAUUUUCCCUCUAAAAUAUGCGAUGUUGGAAGAUAACACUUUUGAGAAAGCCUUUUGGUCUGUUUAUUUCUGGCCAGUCUUCCACAAUCUCAUGGAGUUGUACCAGUGGCUAGAAAAACUCAUCACAAAGGGUCAUAUGUAUUUCACAUUUGUUUUUGGUAAUGGCAAUUAUAGUUGAUUAAAAUGCUACAUCCUUUUCCAUGGAUAAAUUCAUUUUCAGGAGUAUCCUUCAAAGAGUGAAUCAUCCUCGUCCCAAAUGAAUUGAUAAUAUGAGACUGAAUGCACUCCAUCAAAGCACAUUAAUGACAAACUUGCUGAGAUAGAAGAACCUGCUUGCAUGGGUUCAGUGGCAGCACAGCUACAGAGAGUCUCGACUACAAACUGAAGAGUGAUAUUUGAAGUGCUGUUUGGCCCCUAGGAGCAAUUGAGUCGGACUUGAGGGUCCCCCCACCUUUCUUUGUUUGAGUGUAGGAGUGUGCUGCUGAAAGUAGGCAUGGAUUUUAUCCCACAGCGUCCAUGAAUUUUUGCAGCCAAUGACACGGCGAAUCAUGUCGCGAGAAAUGGGGGAUUGCAACCACGCAAAUAGAAGCGGACCUUGUUGUUCCCAAGCUUCAAAUUCAGAUUCCAGCUAUUGACACCAUAACAGGUAGUUUUCUGAAUAAGUUUCUCAGAAAUUGCAGAAAAGGCAUAAUUCUGCUUUGUAGAAGAUGAGUAUAUGCGCUGAAGAGGAGAUGAAGGGCCUUAGGCCUUAGAACCUUGGGGUGUUUCUACAGAUGCCAUGUUAGAAAAUUAAUUCUCCAUUAAUUUGAGCAGAGAAAUCUCAACUCUGAUUUCUUAUAAUUUGUAUUUCUUAUAUUUUGUGUUUAGUGCAAUGAGUGAGACUAUUUAUAGACUCACAAGGCUAACUAAUUUUGUUAGGCAGUUCCUAGAAUUUAGGGAUUAGUUCCUUGAUUCUAGGGACAGUUGAAGUUAGUAAGGAUAGAGGAAUCCACUGUGCAGUUAGUGUACAGCAGUUACAGUAGGGUAUACAAUUACAUGAGGACCUCCUAAGCUCAUCCACUGUUUGGCACCUUGGAGCAAUUGAGCAGGACUAGAGGGUCUCCCCUUUUUGUUCGAACUUGAUAACAUGUCAUUCUCCAAAACAAACCCAACUAUUGCCUAAGCUGAGGGAAAUCUUGUUUAUGUGGUUACAAGUCUCCCUUCUCUAUUUUACCUUUUUUGGAUGUCCAUAAGCUCCAAAGAAAAACUAGUUGGAUCCACUCACUUUUUUUUUUGACAUGAACUAGAUACAUGGUUCAAAGAAAAGGAAAUCAUGGGUACAUUCAAGAUCUCUAUCGACAAAGAGCCAAACACUCUGGGAUGCUCUUUUCCACUGCCAGUGCAGCCCAAAAACAAACCUGAAUUGAUCUGUCAAAACUCUGCAAUCCCAACUAAUGGUUUUCAUUGUUUUGGGCUGUAGACUUUGGUUCAUCUUAUUUCCAACCACCCCCUUUUGUCUUCUAGAUGUUCCUCAGGGAUGAGCAUAUCAACAAACCUUUCUUAUUUAAAAAGGGUUCUGUCUUUACAUGUAUAGGGCUUGUAGUCUUUCUCUUUGGGUUUUGGCAUGACCACUUCAUUCCUUCCCACCAGCAGUUUCCUGUGUCUUGUUCCAACAAUUAGACUCCUGCUGCAAGAGCUGGAUUUGCUCUCUUUUUUUGCGGCUCACUUUGGAAGUAGUGAAGCACGUAGUCAAAGUCCAAAAGGGUCCUCCUUUACCCCCAAUAUCUUCAAAACCAUCUUCUUGAUCACCAUGUUCAGUCUUUGAUUUGGUGUCAAUACAAGUAGGUUAAUAUUCAUAUUUAAAAAGAAAUAAAAGAUUCUUUGCUACAUGAGCAUUGUCCCUCUUUUCAAAGGUUAUCAUAUAUCAAUAGAGGUUUUGAUCCGUAUGAAUCUGCCAAUACGGUUGCGGUUGCUGUCUUUUUUUAUUCGCUUCAAGCUUUUUCGUGAUGCGAUUCAUACGAAGCUUCAACGUGGGUCUCAUACACCUUGGCCUAGCAUGAGACUAUCCAUUUCUAUUUUUUAUCAGACCCUCUUGGCCUAGCAUGAGAUUAUCCAUUUUUUAAAGCUUCAAUUCUGCUACUGGUUUCUGUUUUUGCAUUUUUUACAUCAGGUCCUCUCUUCCUACAGUUUCAUAUUUUCGCUGCUCGUUUCUGUUUAUUUUACACUUUCUGGUUCUGUUCAAUGGUUUCUGAUAUGCCUUCUAUUUGCCAAUAGUUUAGAUUUUGUGCAGCAGCCCCUAGCCUUUCUUUUGGAAAUCAUGCCUGCUUUCAAUUGUUUUAAGAUAUAUUUUACAGGGUUUGUGAUGUUUUUUGACAAGAUGCUUACUUUGUUGACUUCCAAAAAUGAUUUGUGGUUAGUUUAGAAAGUUAUGCAAUCUUUUCAUAAAAUAAAAUUAUUACAAAGAAAAAAUUCAGUUUGAUUUUUUUUAUGGUGAAUUGUGCCAGAAACUUUAAGAUGAAACUUGAAGCAUUAUUGUUUUUUGCUUGCUCAGAUGAACUGAAAGCCAAAUCGAUCAUAUUUUAAGUGACGUGCUAGUUUUAAACUUCAAU